UACGGAGGAUGCAAGCGUUAUCCGGGAUUUAUUGGGUUUAAAGGGUGCGCAGGUUGGUUUGAUAAGUCAGUGGUGAAAGUCUGUCGCUUAACGGUAAGGAUUGCCAUUGUAUACUGUUGGACUUGAAUAUGGAUGAGGUAGGCGGAAUGUGUAGUGUAGCGGUGAAAUGCAUAGAUAUUACACAGAACACCGAUUGCGAAGGCAGCUUACUAAUCCAUCAUUGACGCUGAGGGCACGAAAGACGUGGGGAGUCAAACCA
rnacentral:rRNA from 1 species